rnacentral:tRNA from 1 species
CGCUGAGAAGCUUAUAGGGACAAGCGUUAGCCUUUUAAGCUAAAGAUAGGUGACUCCCAACCACCCUCAGUGA